CUGGCUCAGGACGAACGCUGGCGGCGUGCUUAACACAUGCAAGUCGAACGAUGAACCACUUCGGUGGGGAUUAGUGGCGAACGGGUGAGUAACACGUGGGCAAUCUGCCCUGCACUCUGGGACAAGCCCUGGAAACGGGGUCUAAUACCGGAUACGACGCGCUCAGGCAUCUGAUGCGCGUGGAAAGCUCCGGCGGUGCAGGAUGAGCCCGCGGCCUAUCAGCUUGUUGGUGAGGUAACGGCUCACCAAGGCGACGACGGGUAGCCGGCCUGAGAGGGCGACCGGCCACACUGCGACUGAGACACGCCCCAGACUCCUACGGGAGGCAGCAGUGGGGAAUAUUGCACAAUGGGCGAAAGCCUGAUGCAGCGACGCCGCGUGAGGGAUGACGGCCUUCGGGUUGUAAACCUCUUUCAGCAGGGAAGAAGCGAAAGUGACGGUACCUGCAGAAGAAGCGCCGGCUAACUACGUGCCAGCAGCCGCGGUAAUACGUAGGGCGCGAGCGUUGUCCGGAAUUAUUGGGCGUAAAGAGCUCGUAGGCGGCUUGUCGCGUCGGUUGUGAAAGCCCGGGGCUUAACCCCGGGUCUGCAGUCGAUACGGGCAGGCUAGAGUUCGGUAGGGGAGAUCGGAAUUCCUGGUGUAGCGGUGAAAUGCGCAGAUAUCAGGAGGAACACCGGUGGCGAAGGCGGAUCUCUGGGCCGAUACUGACGCUGAGGAGCGAAAGCGUGGGGAGCGAACAGGAUUAGAUACCCUGGUAGUCCACGCCGUAAACGGUGGGCACUAGGUGUGGGCAACAUUCCACGUUGUCCGUGCCGCAGCUAACGCAUUAAGUGCCCCGCCUGGGGAGUACGGCCGCAAGGCUAAAACUCAAAGGAAUUGACGGGGGGCCCGCACAAGCGGCGGAGCAUGUGGCUUAAUUCGACGCAACGCGAAGAACCUUACCAAGGCUUGACAUACACCGGAAAACUCUGGAGACAGGGUCCCCCUUGUGGUCGG
rnacentral:rRNA from 1 species